rnacentral:rRNA from 2 species
GGAAGUAAAAGUCGUAACAAGGUCUCCGUAGGUGAACCUGCGGAGGGAUCAUUACUGAGUGAGGGCCUUCGGGCUCGACCUCCAACCCUUUGUGAACACAACUUGUUGCUUCGGGGGCGACCCUGCCGUUUCGACGGCGAGCGCCCCCGGAGGCCUUCAAACACUGCAUCUUUGCGUCGGAGUUUAAGUAAAUUAAACAAAACUUUCAACAACGGAUCUCUUGGUUCUGGCAUCGAUGAAGAACGCAGCGAAAUGCGAUAAGUAAUGUGAAUUGCAGAAUUCAGUGAAUCAUCGAAUCUUUGAACGCACAUUGCGCCCCUUGGUAUUCCGAGGGGCAUGCCUGUUCGAGCGUCAUUUCACCACUCAAGCCUCGCUUGGUAUUGGGCGCCGCGGUGUUCCGCGCGCCUCAAAGUCUCCGGCUGAGCUGUCCGUCUCUAAGCGUUGUGAUUUCAUUAAUCGCUUCGGAGCGCGGGCGGUCGCGGCCGUUAAAUCUUUCAUAAGGUUGACCUCGGAUCAGGUAGGGAUACCCGCUGAACUUAAGCAUAUCAAUAAGCGGAGGA